CCGCCCCCUCCCUGCUUUGUCGGAGAGCGGAGAGUCAGAGCACUGACUUUAUUUUUCACAAAUAUUUGCGAGCAAUGGAAGGGAAUGGCUCCUUCGCUCCUACAUGUGACCUGUAUCUCAGAGGGAAAGGCAAAGGAAAUGUUCAACCAGUUUGAGGUGCUAAAGAGCUACAUCUCUGAUAUCGCAGCAUGCACUAAGUACAGGAGAUUAUCAAAGAUGAAAAGAAAUUAAACUUUAAAACAAA